CUAUUUAUUAUUUCUAACAAACAUUCAAUUUUAUUAUCCAGAGUGUUUGUGAUAUUAAGAAUAAGUACUGCUAAUGAUACACAUUUGUAUAAGUUCAAGCAAAAAUUUAAUAAGAAGCUAGAAGUAAUUUCUAAUUCCUGAAUCCUUUAUAAAUGAAAUAAUGAUAAAUAUAGAGCAAGCAAAGUGAACAAAUAGACAAAUAUUCUAUUUAGACAAGAAAACUAUCAGAACAUGGUUGAAUUAAAUUUAGUCAUAAAAAUUAAAAAUGAGUAUUGAUUUUGAAUUAUCAUAUAAGAGCAUGAGAGAAGCAUGAGUGUUUACACGUGAUGUUUACCUGUGAUGUUUAAUGC
rnacentral:lncRNA from 1 species